ACGGGUCCAGGCGCACUGAGGGGCUUUCGUCCAAGCUUUCUGGACAGUUCAUUUGAAAGAUUGGUGGUGAACUUUAAGCGUGGCAAAUUAAAGGAGCACUGUGUGCGCGCUGGACAAGUGCCUUUCCCUCUAAGGAUCCAACCUUCAGAGCUCCACACAGUCAGACGUGUAGUAGGUGCUCCGAAGUGUGUUGCGCUAAUUAACAAACAAAAGAAGUACCAGGACUUGAAGUACAUUGGGCUAAAUAAAGACAUUGGCUAAAUGCAGUAGCUUGAAUAUAAUCCCCACUCCUGUGAGGACAGUCACUUAGAUGCCUGCCGUGCUCUCCAAACACCUGUCCUAGGGAGACUGGGAUUCAGAGAUGGACCUGAAGAGGAUCCACCCAUGAAGAGUUGGGUCAGAAAGGGGUCUGACCUGUAGAUCAAUAAGAGAGCGGAAGAUAGGAAGAGAUCUGAUAGUAAAAGGCCAUGGAUAUUGUGCCCUGAAAGUUUGGAAAUGAGAGAGUUCCAGUUUAUUGAGGGGACUAGGAGUGGCAAUCAGAAGUGGCUUCCUGGAGGAAGUGGCAUGUCGAGUUAUUUUGAAGUGACAGAAACGCUGACCUGGACUGGCCUCCACAAGGGGAAAUAUAUUGGCUGGAGCAUGGAUUCCUGGCCACCAGCCCCACCAGUGGCUGCUUCCCUCCAUAGCACCUUGCAGCUGGAUCUGCUGCGCUGUCCUUUUUGGGUGGCCUCACCUUCAGGCUGACAUGCGUCUGCCGUGUUCCCACACUGCCCUCCAUGAGCCCACACCCAGUCUCUCUCUUGAGAGCUAGAAGUAUCUUCCCUGACAAAUCUCCACGUGGCUCCCUGGCUACCCCCGAGCCAAACUGUGAGCAGGACUGUGGACUCAGCCGCCCACGGCAGUCCCUGGGCCAGGGUGUGCAGGGCCGGGGGAGUCCUACCUUGUGACCCGUCAGGCCCAUCCUGGAAAUGGGGGGAGUUGGCUGUUGCCUCUGAAGCCCUCGGGGAGGUGUGGGAGACUCAAUGAAA